CCUACGGGAGGCAGCAGUGGGGAAUAUUGCACAAUGGGGGAAACCCUGAUGCAGCGACGCCGCGUGAGUGAAGACGUAUUUCGGUACGUAAAGCUCUAUCAGCAGGGAAGAAAAUGACGGUACCUGACUAAGAAGCCACGGCUAACUACGUGCCAGCAGCCGUGGUAAUACGUAGGGGGCAAGCGUUAUCCGGAUUUACUGGGUGUAAAGGGAGCGUAGACGGGAGCGGAAGUCUGUAGUGAAAUCCCAUGGCUUAACCAUAGAACUGCUUUUGAAACUGUGCAGCUGGAGUGCAGGUGAGGUAAGCGGAAUUCCUAGUGUAGCGGUGAAAUGCGUAGAUAUUAGGAGGAACACCAGUGGCGAAGGCAGCUUACUAGACUGUAACUGACAUUGAGGCUCGAAAGCGUGGGGAGCAAACAGGAUUAGAUACCCGGGUAGUC
rnacentral:rRNA from 1 species